rnacentral:misc_RNA from 1 species
UGGUUCUGGCAUCGAUGAAGAACGCAGCGAAAUGCGAUAAGUAGUGUGAAUUGCAGAAUUUAGUGAAUCAUCGAAUCUUUGAACGCACAUUGCGCCCUUUGGUAUUCCUUAGGGCAUGCCUGUUCGAGCGUCAUUUUACCACAAUCAAGCCACGCUUGGUGCUGGGUGUUUGUCCUUGCUAUGUGCACAUGCAGGACUCGCCUUAAAACCAUUGGCGGCCCGCGUGUCGACUUCUAGCGCAGUACAUUCGCGCCUUCUGUCGUGCACGCCGGUGUCCAGAAAGCCCCCCCUCUCAGGUUGACCUCGGAUCAGGUAGGGAUACCCGCUGA